rnacentral:rRNA from 1 species
UACGUAGGUGGCAAGCGUUGUCCGGAAUUACUGGGCGUAAAGGGCGCGUAGGCGGCCUGCUAAGUCGAACGUGAAAUCCCCGGGCUCAACCCGGGAACUGCGUCCGAUACUGGCUGGCUUGAAUCCGGGAGAGGGAUGCAGAAUUCCAGGUGUAGCGGUGAAAUGCGUAGAUAUCUGGAGGAAUACCGGUGGCGAAGGCGGCAUCCUGGACCGGCAUUGACGCUGAGGAGCGAAAGCCAGGGGAGCAAACGGG